rnacentral:rRNA from 1 species
ACAUAUUUUAGUGUCAUAUUCAAAAAAAUUAUUUAUUUUACUUUUAAAUCUAAAAAUAUAGUUUUUGUGUGCAUUUAUUAAUUUUAAAUUUAAUUAAAUUUUUACCCAUGAUUAACUUUUAUAUAAGCUGCACCUUGAUCUAAUUAUUUAAUAAUUUAAUUUACGAAAAAUUACUUCCUAAUAAUUUCUAUAAACGACGGUAUACAAACUAAAAAUAAUAAAAGAGAAACUAAAACGUGAAUUAUCAUUUAUAUCAUAGGUUUCUCUAAUAGAAAAUAAAAUACCGUCAUAUUUUUUAAGUUUCA